rnacentral:rRNA from 1 species
GAUGAACGCUGGCGGCGUGCUUAACACAUGCAAGUCGAACGGAAAGGCCAUGCUUUUGUGGGGUGCUCGUGUGGCGAACGGGUGAGUAAAACGCGUGUAAAAUGCACUUGUAUUUGGGAUAAAUUCAGGAAACUGGGGCUAAUACCGGAUAGGAGCUCUUGCUGCACGGUGGGGGUUGGAAAGAUUCGGCGGUUGUGGCUGGACUAGCUGCUUAUCAGCUUGUUGGGGGGGUAGUGGCUUACCAAGGCUUCGAAGGGUAGCCGGCCUGAGAGGGUGACCGGCCACAUGAGGACUGAGGUACGGCGCAGUAUCGUACGUGAGGCAGCAGGGGAGAACAUUGCACAAUAAGCGGAAGUCUGAGGCAGCAGCGCCGCGUGCGGAAUGACGUCCUUCGGGUUAUAAACCACUUUCGCAUUUGACGAGGCGGUAUUGACGGUAACGAGUAAAGAAGCACCGGCUAACUACGUG